GGAGGACCCAAUAAUGACUGGCAAAUAUGCAAUUAGGUAUGUUAGAGGUGUACAAGGUGACAGUUUUAAUGGUGGACAGCUUAAAAAAGGUCACCUUCAAGCUUCUGCUUGCUGCAAACAUUUCACUGCUUAUGAUUUGGAUCAAUGGAAAAACUUGGAUCGAUUUAGCUUCAACGCCAUUGUAACCCCUCAAGAUAUGGCAGAUACAUUUCAGCCCCCUUUCCAAGAUUGUAUACAGAAAGCACAAGCCAGUGGAAUUAUGUGCUCUUACAACAGUGUUAAUGGAAUUCCAAGUUGUGCUAAUUAUAAUCUUUUAACUAAAACAGCUCGUCAACAAUGGGGUUUUCAUGGGUACAUUACGUCCGAUUGUGACGCAGUUCAAGUCAUGCAUGAUAACCACAGGUAUGGAAAUACGCCAGAAGAUUCAACAGCAUUUGCACUUAAAGCUGGCAUGGAUAUAGACUGUGGGGAUUACUUGAAGAAAUACACAAAAUCAGCAGUAAUGAAGAAAAAAGUAUCACAAGUUCAUAUAGACAGGGCUCUUCACAAUCUUUUUUCCAUAAGAAUGAGGUUAGGAUUAUUCAAUGGGGAUCCCAGAAAACAGCUCUAUGGAAACAUUAGUCCUAGCCAGGUUUGUGCUCCACAACACCAACAACUAGCCCUUGAAGCUGCAAGAAAUGGCAUUGUCUUGCUCAAGAAUACCGGCAAGUUGCUGCCUCUUUCCAAAGCGAAAACCAACUCCCUUGCUGUCAUCGGUCAUAAUGCCAACAAUGCUUAUAUUCUUCGUGGGAACUAUGACGGUCCUCCCUGCAAAUACAUCGAAAUUCUCAAGGCGUUGGUUGGUUAUGCAAAGUCAGUUCAGUACCAACAGGGUUGCAAUGCGGCUAACUGCACGUCUGCUAACAUUGAUCAAGCUGUCAACAUUGCAAGAAAUGCAGAUUAUGUUGUUUUAGUCAUGGGGUUGGAUCAAACUCAAGAGAGGGAACAAUUUGAUCGCGAUGACUUAGUGCUCCCGGGGCAGCAAGAAAAUCUUAUCAAUAGUGUUGCUAAAGCUGCAAAGAAGCCUGUUAUAUUGGUGAUUCUCUCAGGAGGUCCAGUUGAUAUUUCUUUCGCGAAAUAUAACCCUAAAAUAGGAAGCAUUUUGUGGGCUGGCUAUCCUGGUGAAGCUGGAGGAAUUGCUUUAGCUGAAAUCAUAUUUGGUGAACAUAAUCCUGGGGGUAAAUUACCUGUUACUUGGUAUCCUCAAGCCUUUGUCAAAAUACCAAUGACAGAUAUGAGGAUGAGACCUGAUCCUAAAACAGGUUACCCUGGAAGAACAUAUCGAUUCUACAAAGGUCCCAAAGUUUACGAGUUUGGAUAUGGUCUUAGCUACACUACUUAUUCCUAUGGAUUCCACUCUGCCACUCCAAACACAAUCCAGUUAAAUCAAUUAUUAUCUGUAAAAACAGUUGAAAAUUCAGACUCAAUCCGUUACACGUCUGUGGAUGAAAUAGGAAGUGACAACUGUGAGAAGGCGAAAUUCUCAGCUCAUGUUAGUGUUGAAAACUCAGGGGAAAUGGAUGGUAAGCAUCCAGUACUACUUUUUGUGAAACAGGACAAAGCGCGAAAUGGAAGUCCUAUCAAACAGUUAGUUGGAUUCCAAAGUGUAAGCUUGAAGGCAGGGGAAAAUUCACAACUUGUGUUUGAGAUCAGUCCUUGUGAACAUCUUAGCAGUGCUAAUGAAGAUGGAUUAAUGAUGAUAGAAGAAGGAUCGCGUUACCUUGUCGUUGGAGAUGCAGAGCAUCCUAUCAACAUCAUGAUAUGAAACCAAAAAAAAAAAAUGGUUACAAAAAGUUAUUUUUACUAUUUUGAAUUUCACAAAUCCUCUCUAAAUACCUGUAAGAGUGGCAAUGUUGCAGCAGCAACAGCUAAAGUAUAGAUAUCAAGAUGAAUUUGAG
rnacentral:misc_RNA from 1 species